rnacentral:lncRNA from 1 species
CUCAAAUUCCUGGCACCACGGAACCUAUAUAAGAGAUUGAGAUGGAAGAGUGGAUUGUAAUGGGCUUUCAUCUUUUACUCUUUGUAUGCAAACAUUUCGCUGGGUUUCUUGGAUCCAGAUUGCCUUUUUCCGCGGUUUUCCUCUUGUUUUUAUAGGGAUUUUGAUGGAUAUCCGACGGAAAAAGCGAUUGGUUUUGGAAAAGGAGAUGUUUCAAUUAAAAGAUGAUGAUAGAUAUGAAUUUCGAUCUUGACGGGAGAGUUAACUAUGGGUUUUUAUUAGCUUCGAAACUUUAUAUAUAAAUUCUUCAUGGGUUUUUUCGUAUCCGGAUUGCUUUUCUCCGUUGUGUUAUUCUUUUCUUGAUGUGGAUUUCGAUGCAUGCGGAGUUUAAAAAAGAAAAAGACCGGUUCCGGAAAAAGAUUGGAUCUUUCAUAAAUGAUGAAUGUUAAUUGGAUCCUUUCCCUUCUUCCCAUCUUUAAUUGGUUUUGAUGGCUUCUUCCUCUGUUUUCUUGAUAUAGAUUGAUAGUUAGGAUUCAAGUUUGUUCCUUAUUUUAUGAAAAAUAAGAGUGAACGAUUGGAUUUGGAUUUACUUAGUACUUUUUUCUUCUUAUGUCUUAGAUCUUGAAUUGGAAUUUGCUCUUCGUCUAUACAUAGAAGUUUAAUCAGCG